AUGCUAGCUACAUUGAGAAAGAUUGAAUUCCCAGUCAAAGGCUCAAUAAAUGCAUUCUCAAAAUCUCUGUCAUUGGCAUGUGUUACAAAUAAUGCAGGACCAAAUAACAGGUCACAUGGUAACUUCAAUGUUGAUUAUUCACCAUUCACAUUUAAUACUAUAGGACUUAAUUUAAGGACGGAAAAGAAGGUAGGAGAAAUAUUAUUUCAAGUCUUGCAUAUUCAAGAUGCAGCUAAUGUUGAAUUAUUACAAAAUUUAUUCAUCACGAAACAUAAUUAA